GGGUGUCCCUGCUUUGACAGCCCAGAUACAACAAUUGGAAGGCUACAGUGAAGACCAGCAUGGCCCCAGGGCAAGGGUGACAUCUGUAAAGUGUCUUAUGGUUUU